rnacentral:snoRNA from 1 species
AAGACUAUACUUUCAGGGAUCAUUUCUAUAGUUUGUAACUGGUGAAAUGUGCUCGAAAGUGUCAAACUCAGUAGUACCGGCUGG